AUGUCGUCCUCGCCUCUAACCGCCACGCCCACCCCUCUCCUUCCCGCCAAAUCCAAGAGCCCGCCGUCGCACCACCCGCUCCUCCCCCACCUCCCGCACUGCACGAGCCUCCGGGCGCUCGCCCAGCUCCACGCCGCCGCCGUCAAGUCCGGCCUCGGCGCGCACCCGGCCCUCGUCACCAGGCUCCUCACGCUCUGCACCGAGCAGGGCGCGGCCCCGGCGCACCUCGAGUACGCACGCCAGGUGUUCGACAGAAUCCCCAGCCCCGGGGACGUCGUCUGGUACAACACGCUGCUGCGUGGGUACGCGCGCUCGGCCGACGGCGCCGCCGAGGAGGCGGCGCGGGUGUUCGUGCGGAUGCUGGAGGAGGGCGUGGCGCCGGACACGUACACGUUCGUGUCGCUGCUCAAGGCGUGCGCGGCCGCGCGGGCCGGGGAGGAGGGCCGGCAGGCGCACGGCGUGGCCGUCAAGACCGGCGCCGCGGACCACGAGUACGUCCUGCCCACGCUGAUCAACAUGUACGCCGAGUGCGGGGACGCGCGGUCCGCCCACGUGAUGUUCGGCAGGGUGCCGGACGGGGACUGUGUGGUCUCGUACAACGCGAUGAUCACCGCCGCCGUCAGGAGCAGCCGGCCCGGGGAGGCGCUGGUGCUGUUCCGGGAGAUGCAGGCCAAGGGGCUCAAGCCGACGUCCAUCACGGUGACCAGUGUGCUCUCGGCGUGCGCGCUGCUGGGAGCACUGGAGCUGGGGAGGUGGAUCCACGAGUAUGUCAGGAAGGCAGGGCUUGACUCUCUUGUGAAGGUCAACACUGCGCUGAUCGACAUGUAUGGGAAGUGCGGGAGCUUGGAGGAUGCCAUUGAUGUGUUCCAGGGGAUGGAAUCAAGGGAUAGGCAAGCUUGGUCCGUGAUGAUCGUGGCGUAUGCUAACCACAGCUACGGCAGGGAGGCCAUUUCACUGUUCGAAGAGAUGAAGAAGCAAGGGAUAAAGCCUGAUGCGGUCACAUUCCUAGGCGUGCUCUAUGCCUGUAGCCAUUCUGGCAUGGUGAGCGAAGGGCUACAAUACUUCGACAGCAUGAGAGAGUAUGGUAUAGUUCCUGGGAUAAAGCACUAUGGUUGCGUGACUGAUUUGCUAGCCCGAUCAGGUCAGCUUGAAAAGGCUUACCAGUUCAUUGAUGAACUGCCGAUAAAGCCCACCGCCAUCUUAUGGAGGACGUUGCUUUCUGCCUGUGGAAGCCAUGGAGCUGUUGAUCUUGGAAAACGUGUCUUUGAGAGGAUUCUCGAGCUGGAUGAUACUCAUGGUGGUGACUAUGUAAUAUUCUCGAAUUUGUGCGCCAACACUGGGGAAUGGGAAGAGAUGAACAGGGUAAGGAAGCUGAUGAAUGAAAAGGGGGCGGUAAAGGUGCCUGGCUGUAGCUCAAUUGAGAUAGAUAACAGGGUUCAUGAGUUCUUCGCAGGAGAUGGAAGACACCCACAAUCACAAGAUGCAUGCCGAAUGGUUGAUGAAGUGAUUGAGCAGCUCAAACUUGUUGGUUAUGUCCCUAAUACGUCUCAGGUCUUCCAUGUUCAAAUGGGUGAGGAGGAGAAGGCCACAAGCCUAAGAUACCAUAGUGAGAAGCUGGCGAUUUCUUUCGGGCUUUUAAACACAUCUCCAGGAACUACUCUCCGUGUUGUCAAGAACCUUCGUGUAUGUCCAGAUUGUCAUUCGAUGGCAAAGCUUGUCUCUAUGCUCUUUAAUAGGCGGAUCAUACUCAGAGAUCUAAAUCGUUUCCACCACUUUGAGGAUGGGGUCUGCUCUUGUGGAGACUACUGGUAG
rnacentral:rRNA from 1 species